rnacentral:rRNA from 1 species
AACAAACGCUGGCGGCGUGCCUAAUACAUGCAAGUCGAACGGGGAAAGCCUUCGGGUGAGUACUAGUGGCGCACGGGUGAGUAACAUGUGGGUAAUCUGCCUUGGAGUGGGGGGAUAACUAGUCGAAAGAUUAGCUAAUACCGCAUAAGACCACAAGAUCUGCGGAUCAAGGGGUCAAAGGUUUUUCGCUCCAAGAUGAGCCCGCACGGGAUUAGCUAGUUGGUGAGGUAAUGGCUCACCAAGGCUACGAUCUCUAGCUGGUCUGAGAGGAUGAUCAGCCACACUGGAACUGAGACACGGUCCAGACUCCUACGGGAGCAGCAGUAGGGAAUAUUGCACAAUGGAGGAAACUCUGAUGCAGCGACGCCGCGUGGGUGAUGAAGGCCU